UACGAAGGGGGCGAGCGUUGUUCGGAUUUACUGGGCGUAAAGGGCGCGCAGGCGGUAGACCAAGUCAGGCGUGAAAUCCCCGGGCUCAACCUGGGAACUGCAUUUGUGACUGCAUCGCUGGAGUGCGGCAGAGGGGGAUGGAAUUCCGCGUGUAGCAGUGAAAUGCGUAGAUAUCAAGAGGAACACCAGUGGCGAAGGCGAGUCCCUGGACAAUACCUGACACUGAGGCACGAAAGCCAAGGGAGCAAACAGG
rnacentral:rRNA from 1 species